rnacentral:rRNA from 1 species
GACGAACCGUGCGAACGUUGUUCGGAAUCACUGGGCUUAAAGGGCGCGUAGGCGGACCCGCCAGUCAGGGGUGAAAUCCCACGGCUCAACCGUGGCAGUGCCUUUGAUACUGCGGGUCUCGAGGGAGGUAGGGGCGUGCGGAACUUCCGGUGGAGCGGUGAAAUGCGUAGAUAUCGGAAGGAACACCGGUGGCGAAAGCGGCGCGCUGGACCUCUUCUGACGCUGAGGCGCGAAAGCCAGGGGAGCAAAGCGGG